CAACACUCAUCCCUCAUGUUUUUCCUUUAACCCUAACAUUUGAACCCAUCAACCACUUUCAACCCUCUCAAUGCCGUGAAACUCAGCCUCUCGCCCACUCUGUAUUCACCGUGAAGCCAACCCUAACGUUUGAACCCAUCACCCACUCUGUAUUCACCGUGAAGCUUAGCCUCUCGCGGCCGCAUCACUCUUUCAAUCACGUCCCUCACUCUCGCGCAUGUCACCCAGUCUGAACCCUAGCUCUCAAACCCGUCACCUACUCCGUCCUUGCCGUCAACCUCAACCUCUCGUUGCCGCAUCACUUUUUACCUCGCCUAACUCACUCUCGCGGCCUCACCGUUUCCCUCACUCUCAGUUUCGCCGUCUCACUGUUGUCUCUGGUCUAUUCUGAAUGACCAUUUACAAUAUGUGUACUCAAAAGCCUCCUCAUGACUAUUCCCAACAAUUGUAUGAUAAGUACAAGGAGUCAUUUGAAGAGUACAUCAGAUCAACAGUAUUACCUUCUUUGAGAGAGAAGCAUGAUGAAUUUAUGUUGCGAGAACUUGUGAGGAGGUGGGCAAACCAUAAAAUUAUGGUUAGAUGGCUUUCUCGUUUCUUUCACUAUUUGGAUCGAUAUUUUAUUGCCCGGAGGUUACUUCCACCGCUUAAUGAAGUUGGGCUGACUUGCUUCCGUGAUUCUGUGUCAGUUUUUAUUAGUUAUUCUUGUUAAGGUUACAACUCAUAAAUGCAGCUAGUUUUGUAGUGCUACUGCUAACUAGACCUGCUUCACAUUAUCAUUUCAUUAUAAUGUUGCUUCCUUAAAAGAUAAAUCAUUAAUGUGUGAUUUUUAUUGUUUCCAUUCCAGGUUUACAAGGAACUAAAUGGGAAAGUGAGAGAUUGAUCAAGAACGUCAAGGAGAGCAGAUUGAUCGAGCUCUAUUAAAAAAUGUAUUAGAUAUAUUUGUCGAAAUUGGAAUGGGGCAAAUGGAUCACUAUGAGAAUGAUUUUGAAGCUGCCAUGCUCAACGACACGUCUGCAUAUUAUUGUCGAAAGGCUUCAAACUGGAUCCUAGAAGAUUCUUGUCCUGGUUAUAUGCUCCAGGUGCAUAUGCUAGAUAUGGAAUGUUUUUCCUAUCUUAAUCGUGCUUUAGAGAGCUCCCUAUCUCCAAUAGUAAUCUUUGCCACAAAUAGAGGAAUAUGCACCGUAAGGUAUGAUUGAAAUAAAAUUUCUUAUAAAGUUUUGGUGAAGUGGAAAAUUUGGAGAAACUACAUAAAUAAAUAUGAUUACUUGUAUUGUAGCUCAUCAUUUUUGGUGUGUUAAGUUGAUUAGUCUUCUUGGGUGGUCUAUGCAUGACCUAGAAGACACUUGAUUUUGCAGUAUCUUAAUGGACCAUGUCUCAGUUUUCAUGAUUUGUUAAGGAAUAGAAGUUCCUUAACACAAAAUCGCAAUCACAUUAAUUAGUAGUUAGAUUGAUAUGAUCCCAUAUUAAUUAUUUUUAUCAUGAUUAAAUUUGAGGCUAAAAUCAGUUAGUAGUUUA